UACGUAGGGGGCAAGCGUUGUCCGGAUUUAUUGGGCGUAAAGAGCGUGUAGGCGGUCUGGUAGGUCCGUUGGGAAAACUCGAGGCUCAACCUCGAGACGCCGAUGGAAACCAUCAGACUAGAGUCCGGAAGAGGAGAGUGGAAUUCCUGGUGUAGCGGUGAAAUGCGCAGAUAUCAGGAAGAACACCCGUGGCUAAGGCGGCUCUCUAGUACGGUACUGACGCUGAGACGCGAAAGCGUGGGGAGCGAACAGG
rnacentral:rRNA from 1 species